AUUGAACGCUGGCGGCAUGCCUUACACAUGCAAGUCGAACGGCAGCACGGGAGCAAUCCUGGUGGCGAGUGGCGAACGGGUGAGUAAUAUAUCGGAACGUGCCCAGUCGUGGGGAUAACGUAGCGAAAGCUACGCUAAUACCGCAUACGAUCUACGGAUGAAAGCGGGGGGAUCGCAAGACCUCGCGCGAUUGGAGCGGCCGAUAUCAGAUUAGGUAGUUGGUGAGGUAAAGGCUCACCAAGCCGACGAUCUGUAGCUGGUCUGAGAGGACGACCAGCCACGCUGGGACUGAGACACGGCCCAGACUCCUACGGGAGGCAGCAGUGGGGAAUUUUGGACAAUGGGCGCAAGCCUGAUCCAGCAAUGCCGCGUGCAGGAUGAA
rnacentral:rRNA from 1 species